rnacentral:rRNA from 1 species
ACUCCUACGGGAGGCAGCAGUGGGGAAUCUUGCCCAAUGGGCGCAAGCCUGAGGCAGCAACGCCGCGUGCGGGAAGAAGGCCCUCGGGUUGUUAACCGCUUUCAGCAGGAACGAAAAUGACGGUACCUGCAGAAGAAGGUGCGGCCAACUACGUGCCAGCAGCCGCGGUGACACGUAGGCACCAAGCGUUGUCCGGAUUUAUUGGGCGUAAAGAGCUCGUAGGCGGUUCGGUAAGUCGGGUGUGAAAACUUUGGGCUCAACCCAAAGCCUGCACUCGAUACUGCUGUGACUCGAGUCCGGUAGAGGAGUGGGGAAUUCCUGGUGUAGCGGUGGAAUGCGCAGAUAUCAGGAGGAACACCGGUGGCGAAGGCGCCACUCUGGGCCGGUACUGACGCUGAGGAGCGAAAGCGUGGGGAGCGAACAGGAUUAGAUACCCUGGUAGUCCACGCCGUAAACGUUGGGCACUAGGUGUGGGCUCUUACCAACGGAGUCCGUGCCGUAGCUAACGCA